GUCUGUGGCCAUGCCACCCUGAACAAGCCCGAUGUCUGAUCUCGGAAGCUAAGCAGGGUCGGGACUGGUUAGUACUUGGAUGGGAGACCGCCUAGGAAGACCAGGUGCUGUAGGCA
rnacentral:rRNA from 1 species